AGAACAUACCAGGCAUCCGGGUUCAUGGUUGGAGGAAUGUGGGCUCUGAGAGGAAAGGGUGAGCCCUUUCCAGGCUGCGGGACCACACAGCAGAUGAAGACACAUACAAGAAUCCUGGUGUGGAGGAGGGGAGGCAGAUGUCAACCAUGUGUGGGCAGCCUGGUGGCCACCUAAGAACUUCAUUCUGUAGCUGAUGCAGGGAAGGAAGAGGGCUUAUUAAGUUGCUCUUCUAUCUUCCCGAGGAAAAGAGUAAACAAGAAGAGAGGAUGGGUUUGGAAAAGCCAGAGAAUGGAGGAAGAAAGGGACACACACGCCUCUUCACUGCGUUUAAAGGGAUUAUGCAAAAUGGUGAAGGCUGCAAGUGGGAGCAUGGAGUUGCGGGGAACAACAGACGUUCCUUCUCCCCAAUAAGGUCUGGCACUACCUUCCUGGGCAAGAGUGUUUGGAAGAGUGGAAGCAAGAGGAUCGUGAACGCAAAGUCACUUCCCAACAAGUGCGGAAGGCCAGCUCAGCUGUGUGAGACUUAAUAUCUGACCGUAUUCUCCAGAAAUGUGAAACUUCACGUUAGAUAAAACCUGCUAAUCUAAUCUGACCCUUUUAGUGUACAAAGAAGAAAUCAGGGGUCAAAAGAGGAGACACGAAUCUCCAGAAGUCUCAAAUCACAGAACCAGUCAACCACAAAAUCAGAAAUGUAGCCUUUCUAACACACGGCCUGGGCCAAGGCCACCACGGAGAUCCUAGGGAUCAUGUGGCGUAAGUACUAGACUCCUGCUCAAGUGUCAUCUCCAUGCCAACCACACCCUGCAGUUCUGUCCCGUAAAAGACCCUGCAUGGAACACAUGAUGCAGACGCCCUCCAACACAGGCGCGUGCCCCUCGGCUCCCACUCCCCUCUCCCAAUGCUGAUUUUGGCUUUAAACCCGAAGACCUGCCAAGCCCUUGAUGCUCAGUCACCUGAGAAGAACUGCUCACCAUCAUGUAGCCUCAGUCGAUAAAGGCUGUGGGCCCCGUCUUUAAAGUCCCUCCCUCAUUUACCAAGGGCCAUGACUUCAGAGAUGUGGGAUGAGUCUCAGCCUCCUUUUUUUAAUCUUUCUGUGCAAAGACUCUAAGACUGCUUCACCCUCAUUUAGGCCCGAGGCUCAUCCGAGACUACCUCAUGACAGGUUAUCACUGGGACCCUUUCUAAAGGUUCCAAUUUUAAACCUUCAUCUCCUCCCUCACUGCAGUGGUUAAGAUCUUUUCCAUUGCUUCCUAGGACUGCUGCAAUGCAUUCCUAGUGGUUCCCCACCUCCAGCUCGCUCCUCUUACAUCCAUUCUCCACACAGCUUCCAGAUCGAGCUUCCUAAAGCUCCAGCCUGGUGACAUCACUGCCCACCCCUCAGUGGUCCUCCACUGACCUCAGAUGAGGGACAGAUUAGGUUAGGUCUUACCCACAGCUAUUGCUAUUUACCUCCUCAGCAUCCUCUUCCACACUUCCCAGCAUGCACUUCUUCACCUUUGAGGAAUCUCAACUUGUAGCAUCUACCCGAGCCUGGGAAGCUCCCUGCCCUACCCUUUGCUCAUUUCUAUUUAUCUUUCAAGAUGCAGUUCCGGCUUGGUGCCUGGGAGCCUUUCUAACACUCUGCCUGGGCCGAGGCCACCACAGAGUUCCCAGGGAGCAUGCGUAUCUCAUUACUCUGCAAAACCUUGGUAUGCUGUUAGAGGACAGGCGCCUCGACUCACCUCUGCACACAGCCAUGAUAUCUUGGUCUUGGUAGCCUCUCAAGCAGCAUCUGACGAACUGAGCUGAACCUCAAAGUUAGUUCCCUCCCCCAUUUCCAGCAUCUUACAAAUGUCUUAUUCACUAUGGCUUCUCGCUUGCUAGUCCAAGUUUUUUUCUUCCUAAAUACAACCCAAAUGCCUUCUCCCUAGGAAACGUUCCCUGACAAGCCCCACCAGACUGCUCCUCUUGGAAUCUCUGAGCUCAACUGUGUUAUGUCCCCUUAACGCAUCCACCUUGUUUCUCUGUAUUCUGAGAAGUGAGACUGAGCCCAUAAGACUUUGUUGCCUAUGAUCACCCCAACACACUGAAACACAUCUUAUGCUUGCCUAAUAGCAUAUCCCUUCCUAUCCUCGUAAUCACCCUUCCACUGGGAGAGCAAGUACGCUGCUCUGCUAUGUUGCUCCGCUCUUACAGCAGCACCCAGAGCGGAGAUUCACUGCCACAGGAUUUACCUGUGGUUGUUCAGGGACCUUCCUUGAGUUGCCGAAGCGAAGAUUCUGUUACUGUUGUAUGCACAACAAAGUACAUGGUUUCUUUUCCUUUGUGAUCAUUCCAUUUCAUUUCCCCAUGUCCCACCUUUGAUGUCCAGUGAUUCUGGAGCUGUGGAUUCAUGGAGAGUAGGGCAUAGGCCUAUUUCUUCCCUCAUAGGUCCAGCAGUUGAAGCUCAGAGCAGUCAGGCUGAACAAAGGCUGACCUGUCUUAACUCUUUCCUUUUCCAUCCUGGGAGAGGCAGCAGCAUGGGGCGCUCAAGGGUAUCCAUGUAGCAGCCUACCAGGCCAGCCAACCUGGGGCAAUGUGCAUGCUUUGUAGAAUGAAGAUAAUACCAAUUUCAAGUAAGAUGCAACUAGAACCAUUCUUUCUACCUCCUUCUUCUUUACCCACCCUCCUUAGUUACAGUGUUCUAAGGACCAGCCCUUCAUGUUAAAUUAGACCUGUCUCACAACACACCUGACAAAUCCAAGGACCGAGAACUGUGGAGAAGGUCACAGGUUCAAGAUCUCGAGUUCCAGAGAACUUCUUGAAAUACAAAAAAUGAAAUAUACUGAGGAAGUAGGAAAGGGUUCAGGGGGAGGAGCAGCACAAAAGAAGGUGUCAGGCAGAGGACAGAAAUGGCCUGGUCAGAGCAGGUUGAGGGGAGCAAAGCUGGAAGACAGAGGUGGAGGCAGGAGAUGUUUCACCUGAUACCCAAACCCCAAGCCCUGGAGCCAGCUACCAGGCAGAAGACAAUGGCUUUGCCAGGGCCGGAGUGAGAAUCCAGAGUGCUCUGCAAGUGAUACUAUACCAUCACCGGUGCCUAUCAGACAUCAUCUUUAUGAUGGCUGUAUCUACACAGCCUUACCAUCUAGAAAACUCACUGCUCUUGAUUAAGUAAGCCUCCACUAUCAGACAGCGGAAUAUCCUUAGCCAGGAAGUGUGCCAACGCUCAUAUGAGCCACAGAACCCCCACAUCCUCACUCCCUACCCCUGCCAGGUCGACAUUUCCACCCCACACUACACCACUUGUCUGAGUUCCCCUCCGCUGUCUGAAAGGAGCUGUGUGUGCUUUUAGCAGAGGUCUGUUUUGGUGCCUUGGCAAGUGCUGGUUCCACAGUGGGCAUUGAGUGGGGAUUAACCAAAUGAGAAAAUAAUACACACACGGAAUUC